CGAGAAGCUCAGUGGGCAACUGCACAGAGGACUCUGCACGGCCUUCAGCCUCCUGAAACCAGCAACCUUUUCUCUGACAAGAGUAGCUACAGGGAGCUUUCAGAGAUUGCAGACCAAGCCAAGCGACGAGCUGAGGUUGCAAGGCUGCGCGAGCUACAUACUCUGAAGGGUCAUGUUGAAUCCGUGGUCAAGCUCAAAGGCUUGGACAUCGAUUCCAUUCAGCAGCAUUACACAUUCUGAGGGGCUUUUCAUCCGAAGUAGAGGAGAUCAUAUCGUGGAGAAAUGGAAAGUAGCCUUAAGGAUUACGAUGACGAAGAAGCGUAUGGAGCUUUUAUUAGUCUACAGGACAACAGAAAACGAUGUCGCUAGCGGUCAGGGUCGUAGGUUUUUGCUGUGACCAGUUUAUUGCAUGGGUGCUGCUUUCUCUUUGACAGAAUGAGAUUUAACUCUUCCUUUCAAAGUAGCCAUGUUCAAGUAAAUUAUUGAAUCUUGUUUGGAUCUUAAUGAUUUUGUUUUGCUUGAAGCAUAAUCUAGUCCACAAUUCUCAAGAGUGGUCUGCCUGGUAAAAGAAAAGGAAAAACAAAAGGUUAGGCUUCUGGUGAA